GAUGAACGCUGGCGGCGUGCCUAAUACAUGCAAGUCGAGCGAACAGACGAGGAGCUUGCUCCUCUGACGUUAGCGGCGGACGGGUGAGUAACACGUGGAUAACCUACCUAUAAGACUGGGAUAACUUCGGGAAACCGGAGCUAAUACCGGAUAAUAUAUUGAACCGCAUGGUUCAAUAGUGAAAGACGGUUUUGCUGUCACUUAUAGAUGGAUCCGCGCCGCAUUAGCUAGUUGGUAAGGUAACGGCUUACCAAGGCAACGAUGCGUAGCCGACCUGAGAGGGUGAUCGGCCACACUGGAACUGAGACACGGUCCAGACUCCUACGGGAGGCAGCAGUAGGGGAUCUUCCGCAAUGGGCGAAAGCUUGACGGAGCAACGCCGCGUGAGUGAUGAAGGUCUUCGGAUCGUAAAACUCUGUUAUUAGGGAAGAACAAAUGUGUAAGUAACGAUGCACGUCUUGACGGUACCUAAGCAGAAAGCCACGGCUAACUACGU
rnacentral:rRNA from 1 species